rnacentral:rRNA from 1 species
GUUAAAAACCUAGCUCAACCAACACGUAUGUUACUUAACUAACUUACCCCUUUUAAUAAACCAUUUUAAUAAUUUAGUAAAGGAGAUUAAAAGAUUAAUUGAAGCUAUAACUAUAGUACCGAAAGGGAACGGUGAAAUAUAUAGUGAAAAAUUUUUAAACAUUAAAAAGUAAAGACUUCCCCUUGUACCUUUUGCAUCAUGGUUUAACUAGUUUAAUCAAGCAAAUCGUACUUAAGUUUGACCUCCCGAAACUAAGUGAGCUACUUCAGGGCAGCUAAAAGAGCAAACCCGUCUCUGUUGCAAAAGAGUGGGACGACCCUCAAGUAGCGGUGACAGACCUAACGAACUUAGUGAUAGCUGGUUACUCAAGAAACGGAUUUAAGUCCAACCUGAAACUUUUAACGUCUACCAAAACAAUAAUUAAUUUUUAGUGUAAUUCAAAUAAGGUACAGCCUAUUUGAAACAGGAUACAACCUAGACUAAUGGAUAAAUUUAGCUUAAACACAACCAAGUGGGCCUAAAAGCAGCCACCUUUAAAAAUGCGUCAAAGCUUAGUUGUCUCCACGCCCAAUACCCUAAUUUUUACUAUAAUCCUCUAUCCAUAUUGAGUAAUUCUAUACUAGUAUAGAAAAUUUUAUGUUAAAACUAGUAACAAGAAGAAGACCCUUCUCUUAAACGUAAGCAUAAAUCAGAAAGGACAAACCACUGAUACUUAACACGCUUGAUUUUAAAGUAGUAACUAACUAAGAAAAUCCUACUCUAAUUAAUGUUAAUCUUACACAAGAACUUUUUAAGAAAGAUUGAAAGGAAAAGAAGGAACUCGGCAAACAUUAACCCCGCCUGUUUACCAAAAACAUCGCCUCUUGAACUUAACAUAAGAGGUCCAGCCUGCCCAGUGACUCUGUUCAACGGCCGCGGUAUCCUAACCGUGCGAAGGUAGCGUAAUCACUUGUUCUUUAAAUGAGGACUAGUAUGAAUGGCCCCACGAAGGUUAUACUGUCUCCUUUACCUAAUCAGUGAAACUAAUCUCCCCGUGAAGAAGCGAGGAUAAGAAUAUAAGACGAGAAGACCCUAUGGAGCUUUAAACAAUAUAGCACAUACCAUGCAACACCUAAAUUUCCGAGUCUUAAUUCAUUGAGGUAUUAUGACUAUAAGUUUUUGGUUGGGGUGACCGCGGAGCAUAACAUAACCUCCACGCUGAAAUAUUUUAGACUAAGAACUACACAUCUAAGAAUCAAUAUAUUGACAGCCAUUGACCCAAUAUAAUUGAACAACGAACCAAGUUACCCUAGGGAUAACAGCGCAAUCCACUUCAAGAGCCCCUAUCGACAAGUGGGUUUACGACCUCGAUGUUGGAUCAGGGUGUCCCAGUGGUGCAGCCGCUACUA